CCUACGGGUGGCAGCAGUGGGGAAUAUUGCACAAUGGGGGAAACCCUGAUGCAGCGACGCCGCGUGAGUGAGGAAGUAUUUCGGUAUGUAAAGCUCUAUCAGCAGGGAAGAAAAUGACGGUACCUGACUAAGAAGCCCCGGCUAACUACGUGCCAGCAGCCGCGGUAAUACGUAGGGGGCAGGCGUUCUCCGGUUUUAAUGGGGGGAAAGGGAGCGUAGACGGUUAAUCAAGUCAGAAGUGAAAACCCAGGGCUUAACCUUGGGCGUGCUUUUGAAACUGAGUAGCUAGAGUGCGGGAGAGGUAAGCGGAAUUCCUAGUGUAGCGGUGAAAUGCGUAGAUAUUAGGAGGAACACCAGUGGUGAAGGCGGCUUACUGGACUGUAACUGACGUUGAGGCUCGAAAGCGUGGGGAGCAAACAGGAUUAGAUACCCCGGUAGUC
rnacentral:rRNA from 1 species